UGAGGAAUAUUGGUCAAUGGGCGAGAGCCUGAACCAGCCAAAUCGCGUGAGGGAAGACUGCCUUAUGGGUUGUAAACUUCUUUUAUACAGGAAUAAAAAAGGGGACGUGUCCCUUAUUGCAUGUACUGUAUGAAUAAGCAUCGGCUAACUCCGUGCCAGCAGCCGCGGUAAUACGGAGGAUGCGAGCGUUAUCCGGAUUUAUUGGGUUUAAAGGGUGCGCAGGCGGGCUUUUAAGUCAGCGGUGAAAUCUCGGGGCUUAACUCCGAAACUGCCGUUGAAACUGGGAGUCUUGAGUAUGGAUGAAGUAGGCGGAAUUCGUUGUGUAGCGGUGACAUGCUUAGAUAUAACGAGGAACUCCGAUUGCGUAGGCAGCUUACUAAGCCAUAACUGACGCUCAAGCACGAAAGCGUGGGGAUCAAACAGGAUUAGAUACCCUGGUAGUCCACGCCGUAAACGAUGAUUACUAGUUGUAUGCGAUAUACCGUAUGUGACUAAGCGAAAGCGAUAAGUAAUCCACCUGGGGAGUACGCCGGCAACGGUGAAACUUAAAGGAAUUGACGGGGUCAUAGCUGUUUCCU
rnacentral:rRNA from 1 species